rnacentral:rRNA from 1 species
UAAGAUUGUAGUAUCGCAUGAUAUAGCAAUUAAAGGAAGCAAUCCGCUAUAAGAUGACCGCGUCGCAUUAGCUAGUUGGUGAGGUGAUGGCUCACCAAGGCGACGAUGCGUAGCCGACCUGAGAGGGUGAUCGGCCACAUUGGGACUGAGACACGGCCCAGACUCCUACGGGAGGCAGCAUG